rnacentral:rRNA from 1 species
AUUGAACGCUGGCGGCAGGCUUAACACAUGCAAGUCGAGCGGAGAGAGGUAGCUUGCUACUGAUCUUAGCGGCGGACGGGUGAGUAAUGCUUAGGAAUCUGCCUAUUAGUGGGGGACAACAUUUCGAAAGGAAUGCUAAUACCGCAUACGUCCUACGGGAGAAAGCAGGGGAUCUUCGGACCUUGCGCUAAUAGAUGAGCCUAAGUCGGAUUAGCUAGUUGGUGGGGUAAAGGCCUACCAAGGCGACGAUCUGUAGCGGGUCUGAGAGGAUGAUCCGCCACACUGGGACUGAGACACGGCCCAGACUCCUACGGGAGGCAGCAGUGGGGAAUAUUGGACAAUGGGCGCAAGCCUGAUCCAGCCAUGCCGCGUGUGUGAAGAAGGUCUUCGGAUCGUAAAGCACUUUAAGUUGGGAGGAAGGGCAGUAAGUUAAUACCUUGCUGUUCUGACGUUACCGACAGAAUAAGCACCGGCUAACUCUGUGCCAGCAGCCGCGGUAACAC